GUCUUAAAAGCUAUCAGCGAUCUACUUUGUAAGUAGGGGGAGAUCGAUAAAUUUCGAUUUAAGAUU
rnacentral:tRNA from 1 species